UAACCCCGAAGAACCUUACCAAGGCUUGACAUACACCGGAAACGGCCAGAGAUGGUCGCCCCCCUUGUGGUCGGUGUACAGGUGGUGCAUGGUUGUCGUCAGCUCGUGUCGUGAGAUGUUGGGUUAAGUCCCGCAACGAGUGCAACCCUCGUUCUAUGUUGCCAGCGCGUUAUGGCGGGGACUCAUAGGAGACUGCCGGGGUCAACUCGGAGGAAGGUGGGGAUGACGUCAAAUCAUCAUGCCCCUUAUGUCUUGGGCUUCACGCAUGCUACAAUGGCCGGUACAAAGGGCUGCGAUACCGUAAGGUGGAGCGAAUCCCAAAAAGCCGGUCUCAGUUCGGAUUGAGGUCUGCAACUCGACCUCAUGAAGUCGGAGUCGCUAGUAAUCGCAGAUCAGCA
rnacentral:rRNA from 1 species